rnacentral:tRNA from 1 species
ACUAACUAGGCAGAAAUAUUGUAUCAAAUUUAGAAUUUGAAUAUGGGGAACCCAGUUAGUG